ACAAUUAUCGCUGUCUCGAUGUGAUUUGUCGGGAGUAUAUUGAGUUUCGCGUUAAACACUCGAUAGCUAAUUUGCUAACAUUCUCCCGUCCAUCACAAGUUGUACGUAGUGUUUUUAUUUUUGUAUUUAAAUAUUUGUUUAACCUGCACAGGUGCAUCAGACAAUACUUUUGCGAGGACAGGAUCUUCUGCUGUCUAUAUCACUGUCUGUGCCUACUGUUAAUAACCAUUUACACAAGCUCUAAAAUCAUGCAGUUCAACAAAAAGAUUUUAUCAUCAUCAAGCAUGGUCUCAAGUGCAGGCAAUCCCCACACUUUCACUGCUGUUACUGUACAUCAACAGUAAUCAGAUGUGAUUGUUUUAUUACACAUUUUAAAAUGUGUAAAAAUCCAGCCUCUGAACAACCUCCCAUUGGCUGCAGCACCACCUUCGUCUCCAGCAUCAGCAUCCCCACCUUCAUUUCGCCCGGACAUUGGAACAUGGUGCCCCUCUACAGCUUGGAGGAAUUGAUUGUGGGGUAUUUAUGUUGAUGUCAAGUCCCACAACUACUCACCCAGGAAGUAACAUAUGCAGAUAACAUGAAAUUCACUCCACCCGAGUCAGGUGUCAUGGAGAUCACCCAGACAACAGAAGUAGAUCACACAGGACUCAGCGGUGAUGAGAAACAUUCAGCUGACCUGUGAGUGGGUAAAGGAGACCACUUGCUGGGAAGAUGAGCUACAAAAGAUCUAAAGGAUGAUGCCCUGUUGUCUAUAACAAUGUGGGACUUGUUUAUAAACACCAUGAUUUAUGAGGGUGAAAGGAAUGAAGAAGAAAUUUUGACUCCCUUCCCUUUUAUAUUUUAGAGAAGAGCAGGGGCCUCAUUUAUAAAAUGCUGCGUAAAAACCAUCCUAAAUUUGAUCUGGCGAUCAUUUAACAAAAAUGCGUACGUGUGAUUCAUAAACCGAACGUACGCGCAGAAAACGCGCGUACCCCUUUCAAAUCUAUAAAUCAGAAAUGAACUUGAACUUGUGCGCGCAGCCGAGCAGUUUCAGAUCUCCGCCUUUAAACGAUGCGUAAUUAAUGUCAGACAUAUAAAAAGCGCUUGUCAAUGUUUAAACCCAAUUUCAAACAGCAAGAAUGGCUUAUAUUUCCAAAAACCUGCAGCAAUCAGACAAGCAAAAGUGCGUACAUCUGCUCAGACCCUGACGUGGCGCUAAGCACUUUUCCACGUCAAAGACGGUUUUUAUAAAUAUGGACUUUGCUGUGGAUUUUCGCCUACGCACACUUUACGAUCAAAUCUGUGCGUACGCAGGCUUUAUAAAUGAGGCCCCAGGAGAUAUAUGAGACAAAAGAGUUAUUUGUGGGUUUUGUUUACACAAACAAACCCUGUCUUGUGAAUCUACUAGUGGGGAUAGACUAAUUUAAAUAUAGAUUUUUUUGAUUGUUUUUGUAAAAUACCAUUUCACGAGUUCGCAUUAACAUGUAAUCGAUAGGGAAUGAGAUUAAGCAUAUUUGGCGUGCUGUCCGAGGAGAGCGCUCCGAGCUCGGAAUUUUAGCCCAAACCCAGAGUACUCCCCUCUCUUUAACUGUGAUGAAUUAAUCUAGAUGAGAGUGAGGUGAUGGGGUGGAGGAGGGAUUCUGCAAAAAAUCUGUCACGGGACAGAGGUGAGGGACUGCCAUUUAUAGGCACCUCUUUGCACUGAUUGGUUGGAUCACAUGACCAUGCUCCUCCCGAACUUAGUUAAAUAAACUUCAUUAAACGUUUGUGUGAACUGUAAAGUGAUGUGUUCUUGAAAUAAAUAUAUAAUAUUUAUUAUUGUAUCUUAUUAUACCAUUAAAGUGUCGUGUUCUUGAAAUAUUCAUGAUAUUAUUUAAAAUCUUCUUAUCAUAACAUCUUGAUUUCUUUUAUGUUAGAUGCACAUUUUGCUAAAUUUGGGUUAAUAGAAACCAAUAAAUCCACUUGUAGGACACUGGAGUAUAACACUUGUAGGACACCUGGGUAUGUGACUAUUAAAUAACAUAAUUUAUAUUCUACAAAAAUGUAAAUUAAAGGGAAUGCCUCAAUAAUCUCAAAGCACAUCGUAUAUCCUCUACUAUGGGAAGUCACAUGGUUGAUUUUAGACUACUUGUCUGCUUAUUCAUAAAAUAUAGUAUACUGCAUAGCCUAUCACAUAAAUGUCGAAUCUAUCCAAAGUUACAGUCAAUAU